rnacentral:rRNA from 1 species
AUUAAAGUGGCCGAUUUACCCUCUUUUGCAAUGAGUUUUGCUACAACACCUGCUGCUCUAGCUAAUUGCCCACCCCUUCCACGUGUGAUUUCUAUGUUAUGCAUGGCCGUGCCUAAGGGCAUAUCGGUUGAAGUAGAUUCUUCUUUUCUCUCAAAAAACCCCUUCCUAAACUGUACAAGCUUCUUCCAAAGCAUACGGCUUUCUAGAUGUAUAUGA